UCGAACGCGAAAGGGGAGCAAUCCCUGAUUAGAGUGGCAAACGGGUGAGUAACACGUGGGUGACCUGCCUUCGAGUGGGGGAUAACCUUCCGAAAGGAGGGCUAAUACCGCAUGACAUACCGUGUUUGGAUACACGGAUAUCAAAGCCGGGGAUCGCAAGACCUGGCGCUUGGAGAGGGGCCCGCGUCCGAUUAGCUAGUUGGUGAGGUAACGGCUCACCAAGGCUCCGAUCGGUAUCCGGCCUGAGAGGGCGGACGGACACACUGGAACUGAGACACGGUCCAGACUCCUACGGGAGGCAGCAGUGGGGAAUUGUUCGCAAUGGGCGAAAGCCUGACGACGCAACGCCGCGUGGAGGAUGAAGAAUUUCGGUUCGUAAACUCCUUUCGACCGAGAUGAAUACCCAUGGACCUAACACGUCUGUGGGCUGACAGUAUCGAGAGAAGAAGCCCCGGCUAACUCUGUGCCAGCAGCCGCGGUAAUACAGGGGGGGCAAGCGUUGUUCGGAAUUACUGGGCGUAAAGGGUUCGUAGGUGGCCACUUAAGUCAGACGUGAAAUCCCUCAGCUUAACUGGGGAACUGCGUCUGAUACUGGGUGGCUUGAGUGCAGGAGAGGAAUGCGGAAUUCCAGGUGUAGCGGUGAAAUGCGUAGAUAUCUGGAGGAACACCGGUGGCGAAGGCGGCAUUCUGGACUGUAACUGACACUGAGGAACGAAAGCCAGGGGAGCAAACGGGAUUAGAUACCCCGGUAGUCCUGGCCCUAAACGAUGAAUGCUUGGUGUGGCGGGUAUCGAUCCCUGCCGUGCCGCA
rnacentral:rRNA from 1 species